AACGAACGCUAGCGGCACGCUUAACACAUGCAAGUCGAACGGAAUUAUGGUUUUCGGAUUAUAAUUUAGUGGCGCACGGGUGAGUAAUACAUAGGAAUCUAGCCAUAAGUACGGAAUAACUUUGGGAAACGAAAGCUAAUACCGUAUGGUCCCUUCGGGGUAAAGAUUUAUCGCUUAUGGAUGAGCCUAUGGUGGAUUAGGUAGUUGGUGAGGUAACGGCUCACCAAGCCGACGAUCUAUAGCUGGUUUGAGAGAAUGAUCAGCCACACUGGAACUGAGACACGGUCCAGACUCCUACGGGAGGCAGCAGUGGGGAAUAUUGGACAAUGGGGGCAACCCUGAUCCAGCGAUGCCGCGUGAGGGAAGAAGGCCCUAGGGUUGUAAACCUCUUUUAUCAGGGAAGAUAAUGACUGUACCUGAAGAAUAAGCUCCGGCUAACUCCGUGCCAGCAGCCGCGGUAAU
rnacentral:rRNA from 1 species